ensembl:lncRNA
GGUCAAAGGUCGCAUAUUUGGGGUCAAAGGGCACACAUAUGGGGUCAAAGGUCCCCAUUUGGGGUCAAAGGUCACAUAUUUGGGGACAAAGGUCACAUAUAUGGGCUCAGAGGACACAUAUUUGGGGUCAAAGGUCGCCAUUUGGGGUCAAAGGUCACGAAUGGGGGUCAAAGGUCACAUAUAUGGGCUCAGAGGACACAUAUUUGGGGUCAAAGGUCACAUUUGGGGGUCAAAGGUCGCGAAUGGGGGUCAAAGGUCACAUAUAUGGGCUCAGGGGACACAGAUUUGGGGUCAAAGGUCACAUUUUGGGGUCAAAGGUCGCAUUUGGGGGUCAAAGGUCGCCAAGAUGGCCUCACGAGACACAGAUUUGGGGUCAAAGGUCAUAUUUUGGGGUCAAAGGUCACACUUUGGGGUCAAAGGUCACAUAUAUGGGGUCAGAGGUGGACAUGUGGGGUCAAAGGUCGCAUAUUUGGGGUCAAAGGUCACACAUAUGAGCUCAGGGGACACAUUUGAGGUCAAAGGUCGCCAUUUUGGGGUCAAAGGGUACAUAUUUGGGGUCAAAGGUCGCAUA